AAAACCGACGCAAGCAAAAAAAGUAGUAAAAAGAAUUUCCUGACGUUGUCUGGGAAUGACUUUUGUUGCCGUAGCAAGCGACGAGGCAUCCGUCGGCACCCCGCGGAGCGAGAGCGGGACCACGUACAGAAGGGAGACCAUGGACGCAUGAGCCUGCCGGAGCCACGACGUGACCGUGAGGGAGAAGCGUGGCCCCGGCGAACUCCCAGCCUCCAGCAUCCGGUCCCGGUCCUCCUGACACCGGCAGAGCACACAAAAAAAAAUCCUCCGAAGUUUACGACCGGAUGUACAUAUCCUUCGGGCCUACACCGAACUCCACCUGAAGCACCGCAGCCACUGGUGCGAGAUCAUCCUUCUGUCGUGUCACCGAGGCGAUGAUCAUCACGGCCUUCAAUAGUUCACCCUCCAUCCAGCAGAGGGAUGCAGACGACUCGAGGAAGCAGGCCUCAGCCAUCUCGUCUUUUUGGUCCGAACGCCGCGGGGAUCAGCGAAAGGAUCACAGAACGCCCAGCGCGUGACACUGCCCACAGAUGUCGAUCGCACCCGCGCCCACGCCACCUCCGCCCAAGGGUGCAGCAGGCGCACCGGCCCAUCGGCAACGGACUCGGAGGAGGUGGGGGGAGCACUAAGGGGACCGGGGGCGGCGGGGUAGGCUGUAGGUGGUGCCUCGCCGGGUGAGGCGGAUCCGAGGGGUACGAGUUGCUCCGCCGCCGAGUGCAUCCCCUGGAGAUGUGGCCGUAGCCACCAUAGCGGACGCAGAGCAUCUCGUUCAUGCAAGCCAGAUGUGCUUGUCGCUCCCACAGUUGUAGCAGCAGCCAUAGAGGGUCAUCAGUACACGAGAGUUUGGGGGCCGCGAAGAGGGAAGGACAUCAGUGCGUCACCCCCCGCGCCAGGAAGGAGCCGGGUCGCGCAUCUGGUGGUGCGGAAGGGAUGGCCCUGCCAACGAAGCGGGACUGUCCUCCAGUCCACGGCCGGCAUAGGGGCCCUAGGGAGGGAGCUCCGCCCGGCCUCGCUCACAGGACCAACGCCCCGAACGGCGUCCCAAUUAUGGAGCGGAGCCUGGGCGCGACAGCGGCGGCAGUGAGGACGUCAGGUAGGAGCUCACAGACGACGCAAAGAAACACACGCGGGAGGCCAUCGACCGCACCACUAGGGCCAAGCCCAAGAGGAGGAGCGAACAGAGGAGUCGAGGUGGGAAUCAGCAGGAGCUCGACCGCCCGCAUCAGGGAGGCAUGGAUCCCGAGGUGGACUGGCCGAGGAGAUCCGCCGCAUGGUCGCUGGCAUCAGGCAGGAUGCAGCAAUCACACCAAGGAGGCGCCCUUGUUCUCAGAUCCGUAUGGCUGCGUCGGGAGGGGCUCCAAGGUCUGCUCGAUCUGGAACCGGUUGGCGUUGGCGACCGCGUCCACCUGACGGCGCCCUGUCGGCAACGACUGAAAGGCACAAGGCACAACAUUACAUACACUUAUCCAACACUGGGAAUCUAGGAGUCGGAGGUCAAGGAGGCUUUCAAGAGGAUGAAAGGAGGCAAGGCGAUGGGGCCCUGAUUGUAUCCCCAUUGAGGUGUGGAGAGGCCUUGGGGACAUAGCGAUAAUAUGGCUAACCAAACUUUUCAACCUCAUUUUUCAAGCAAACAAGAUGCCAGAAGAAUGGAGACAAAAUAUAUUAGUACCAAUCUUCAAGAACAAGGCAGAUGUUGAGAGUUGUACUAAUUACUGGGGAAUUAAAUUGAUGAGCCAUACAAUGAAGCUAUGGGAGAGACUCAUUGAGCAUCGCUUAAGAAGUAUGACAAGUGUGACCCAAAA